ensembl:lncRNA
CAGUCUAAUAAGGAUGCUGUUAUAUGGACUCCAAUCUCUAUGAUGACCACCCAUGUCUUUGUCAACUUCAUGCUAAAAGUCAAUGAUUGCUGGAGCUCUGGAAAUAGCAGGUGAGAUUGCAGGCCGGAGUCCCGUCGCUGUCCAGGGAACCAAAGUCAACCUCCCCUACUCCUGAGACCACAGUGUGACUGAGAGCCUAGACUACAUGGCUACUUGGAACAUGAACAUGUUGCAGACACAGGAUCUUAUGAAGUCAGCGCAGGCAGCCCUGGAAAAGAAGAGUCCGAAAGACGUGCCCUUCUCCAAGCUUUAAAGGAGAAGAUCCAGGGCUGUUGAAGCUGCGGUGGAACUGAGACAUCAUCAUCCACAUAUCUUCAGUUCUUCUUGCUAAGUCUGUUUCUUUUUAGUCUU